GUUUUUGGCUUUGACCUCCCCCCAGUGACCAAAGACUUGAGCACUCAAAAAGUUCAGCUCCCCAUAGUAUUUGACAUGGACACCGGUGUGAUUGAAGGUGGAUUAAAUGUCACUCUCACCAUCCGGCUACUUAUGCAUGGGAAGGAAGUUGGCAGUAUCAUUGGAAAGAAAGAAUCAGUUAAGAAGAUGCGUGAGGAGAGUGGUGCACGUAUCAACAUCUCAGAAGGGAAUUGUCCUGAGCGAAUUAUCACUUUGGCUGGACCCGCUAAUGCCAUCUUCAAAGCCUUUGCUAUGAUCACUGACAAACUGGAAGAGGACAUCAGCAGCUCUAUGACCAAUAGCACAGCCUCCAGUAGACCCCUGGUCACUCUGAGGCUGGUGGUCCCUGCUAGUCAGUGUGGCUCUCUCAUUGGGAAAGGUGGCUGCAAGAUCAAGGAAAUACGAGAGAGUACAGGGGCUCAGGUCCGAGUGGCAGGAGAUACGCUCCCCAGUUCAGCUGAGCGGGCCAUCACUACCGCUGGCACCCCGCAGUCCAUCAUUGAGUGUGUCAAACAGAUCUGCGUGGUCAUGUUGGAGUCCCCCCCGAAGGGCGUGACCAUCCUGUACCGGCCCAAGCCAUCAAGUUCUCCAGUCAUCUUUGCAGGUGGUCAGGACAGGUACAGCACAGGCAGCGACAGUGUGAGCUUUCCCCACACCACCCCGUCCAUGUGCCUCAACCCUGACCUGGAGGGACCACCUCUAGAGUUGACCAAGCUGCACCAGUUGGCAAUGCAACAGUCUCAUUUUCCCAAGACGCAUGGCAGCACCGGAUUCAGUGGCAUUGAAUCCAGCUCUCCAGAGGUGAAAGGCUAUUGGGCAGGUUUGGAUGCAUCUGCUCAGACUACUUCUCAUGAAUUCACCAUUCCAAAUGAUUUGAUUGGCUGCAUAAUUGGCCGUCAAGGCGCCAAAAUCAAUGAGAUCUGUCAGAUGUCUGGGGCGCAGAUCAAAAUUGCAAACCCAGUGGAAGGAUCUACUGCUAGGCAGGUUACCAUCACUGGAUCUGCUGCCAGCACUAGCCUGGCUCGAUAUCUAAUCAAUGUCAGGCUUUCCUCGGAGACGGGUGGCCUGGGAGCAGCUAGAACAAUGCAGCUUCGUCCAUCACCCUUUCUGCUCUUCACCGUCACCCAUGAUCCAUCUGUGUAG